AUCCUCAAUCUCAGAUCUGUCUACAUGCUGACUCUUACUGGCCCUCAGUCCCCUCUCCCAAACCCUGCAUAGAAGCCACCUGAUGACUGAGUCACAUGACCAGCCUCACCCUCUCAGCAAACUCGCCCUCCCUGUCUGACCUGCUCUGGACUAGCAGGAAGGAUAGGAGGGCAUGGGACAGCUUUACUCUGCACUCAGCCCAUCGGGGACCAGCUGAAGACAGGUGAUCAGGUUCAGCAGGCUCUGUGAGGCACCUGGAAGGUGGGCGUUGCCGGAGUCAGUCUCCCCUUUCCUGCACUGCCACUGCCCAGUGCAACGUUCUGAAGAGUCACCAGAGACGCUGCUGAAUGCAAACUCCAGAGCCUCUGGCAACCUCGAUUUGUUGUUCUGGUGGAGGCUGGAAUGCUAUUUUCAAUCAUUGCCAUGGCCAUAAUCCUCAAACAGCGGGCAUUCAACUUGGUGGGACAUGCCGAGCUUGUUGACAAUACAACAACCUGAACCCCAUUCUGAUUCAACACCUGCUGCAGUGGAAACCAAGAAUCUCUCUUUUAACAAUAGGACCAGGUGAUCCUUACCCUAAAGAGACCCAGUAGUAGGUAAUUUGUAUCCUCACUGAAACAUAGGAAGGUGGAAGUGACUACCAUCCCCUUGUACCAACAAGGAACCAAGCUGAGGCCAGUGACCAGCCCAAGGUCACAGCCAGUAUGGAGCAGAGCUGAGAUUAACCUGGGGCUGGUGCUCCAACACCUUUUAAACUUGUGUGUCUUGUAUGGGUACAAAUCUGGGCAAAGCAAAAGCCUAGGAGCUGACUGCUGUACCCUGGGAGUCAGGGAUUGACCUCUGUUAUAACGUUUCCACUUGCAAGGUGGCCUGAGAUCAUCAGGAAUUGCUAAAACAGUGGUAAAGGGUGCAGCGAGGGGCAAGGAUGGGUGAGUAGGACAUCUUGGCCUUGGGCCCCUGAAAGUCUUGCGUCCAAUACCUGGCCCACAUCUACCAGCUAUGUGACCCUGGCCAAAUCAUCGAAUGUCUCUGAGCCUCACAUUUUUCAUCUAUGAAACAGCUAUUGAGAUACUCAUACUGCUGGGUUGUGAGAUGAGAGGGGAUGUGGAGAAAAUACCUGGCACAUCACAAUGCUCAGUAAAGGGUGCCUGUAUGGUCUUGGAGGCAAGGGCUGGCUUGGGUCCAGGUUGAUGCUGAGUAGGUGUGACCUGGAAGAGUCACCCAGUUCACUGAGCUACAUCAGUGCAGAACAGACAUUAGACCUGCCCUGCCCACCUUAAAGCCCGUUGGAAGAAUGGGAUGGAAUUAUGUGUGGGAAUAUCUGAUGAAGCUGAAAAGUAGUCCACUGAUGGAUGUCAUUUUCAUUUUGAUUCCAGGCUACUUGCAAUACUAAGAAGACCUCUCUUCCCUUCAUGAAUCUUUCUAAAGCCUAAUGCGGAGGUUAGGUGGGGAGACCUCAUUGGGAUCUGCAAGAGUCCCCUGUGUCCCCUCCUCCUCCAGGAAGCUUUCCCGGAUGCCCCAGGCUGGAUUUGAGGUCCCAUUGCUAUGCUCUCAAUGCACCCAGGAUUGGCCUCCACACUCUUCAUUCCCUGAAAUUGUUCACUUUCUCCUCCAUCUACUCUCCCCACCUCCCCCAGCCAUCACCACCCCCUGUGAGUCCCCCAUUAGCAAGGCCUGUGUGAAAUUCAUCUCUGUCUGCCCAGACUAGGGGACCAGCCAGUGUUGAUGAGUUGAAUGCAUGGAUUUCACCUCACUGGGAGUCUACUUUGUUUACUUUCUAGAUAACUGUCCUCCAAAGAGCGGAUGGUUAAUUGUAUGUGUCAACUUGAGUUGACCCCAGGAUACCCAGAUUAAACGUUAUUUCUGGGUGUAUCUGUGAGGGUGUUUCCAGAUGAGAUUCACAUUUGAGUCUGCGGACUCAGUAGAUGGCCCUCCUCACUAUGGGUGGCAUCGUCCAAUCCAUUAAGGACCUGGAUAGAGCAAAAGGUGGAAGGAGUAAUUUGCCCCUUUUCCCGUCCCCGACUGUUGAGCUGGGACGUCUCAUGUCUUCUCCUGCUCUCAGACUGGGAUUUAUGUCAACACCCCUGGCUCUCAGACCUUUGGACUUGGACUCAAUCAAACCACUGGCUUUCCUGGGUCUCCAGCUUACAGACAGCAGAUCUUGGGAUUUCUCAGCCUUCACAAUCAUGUGAGCCAAUUCAUCAUAAUAAAUCAUAUAUCUACAUAUAUAUAUGUAGAUAUAUAUAUCCUUCUGGUUCUGUUUCUCUGGAGAACUCUAACACAUCAUCGCUUCUCCCUUUUAGAGGAAGUGUUUAAAUGAAAAGCUAGAACUUUGGGUUCUUCCUCCUACUUUUCUGCAAUAUUUGGAUGUGGACAAAGACCAUUUUGGGGUCUCCUUCCACCCAAACCCAAGAAUACACGUCUUUCACUUCCCAUCAGAAUCCCCCUGUGCCCAUCCCCAUCCUCUUGGGACUCUGACACCUAACUCUGCCAGGAUUUGUGAUCAGAGGGAUGGUUGUUCCUUCAAAGAAUUCAUUUACAUUCACACCCAGUAGAGUGGCUAAAAUUUUAAAAAGACGGUGCCAAGUGCCGACAAGGAUGUGGGGAAACUGGAAUCCUUAUGUGUGGCUGGUGGGGAUGUGAAAUCAUGCAGCUACUUUGGAAAAUAGUUUGGCAGUUCCUCAAAAUGUGAACUCUUGAGUUGUCAUAUGACCCAGUUCCCUCCUAGCUAUAUAUCCAAGAAGAUCUAUGUCCACAGAAAAACUGUCACAUGAAUGUUCACUGCAGCAACAUUCUUAAUAGCCAAAAAGCAGAACCAACCCCAAAGUAAAUCACCUGAAGAAUGAGUGAGUGAAAUAUGGUCUAUUCCUACAAUGGAACAUUUGGCCAUAAGAAGGAAUGAAGUACUAACACGUGCUGCAACCUUGGCGAACCUUGAAAACAUUAUGCUAAGUAAAAGAAGUCAGUCACAGAAGACCACAUAUUAUCUGGUUAGACUUCUAUGAAAUGUCCAGAAUAGAUAAAUCCAUAGGAACAGAAAGUAGAUCUGUGGUUGCCUAAGGGUAGGGGCUUUGGGAGAAAUGGGGAGUAACUGCUAAUGGGCAUGCAGUUUCUUUUUAGGGGUGAUUAAAAUGUUCUAAAAUUGAUUGUGGAGGCCGGGCGCGGUGGCUCACGCCUGUAAUCUCAGCACUUUGGGAGGCCGAGGCGAGAGGAUCACGAGGUAAGAGAUCGAGACCAUCC
rnacentral:lncRNA from 1 species